GAACGCUGGCGGCGUGCCUAAUACAUGCAAGUCGAACGAGGUGCUUUUGUAGCAAUACGAAAGUAUCCUAGUGGCGAACGGGUGAGUAACGCGUGGGUGACCUGCCCCGAAGUGUGGGAUAACAGUCCGAAAGGAUUGCUAAUACCUCAUGUGGUUAUCGGAUUUAGAAACUGAUAACUAAAGCAGCAAUGCGCUUUGGGAGGGACCUGCGUCCCAUCAGCUAGUUGGUGAGGUAAUGGCUCACCAAGGCUACGACGGGUAGGGGACCUGAGAGGGUGGCCCCCCACAAUGGAACUGAAACACGGUCCAUACACCUACGGGUGGCAGCAGUAGGGAAUAUUGCACAAUGGGCGAAAGCCUGAUGCAGCAACGCCGCGUGUGCGAUGAAGGCCUUCGGGUCGUAAAGCACUUUUCUGAGAGAUGAGAAAGGACAGUAUCUCAGGAAUAAGUCUCGGCUAACUACGUG
rnacentral:rRNA from 1 species